rnacentral:tmRNA from 1 species
GGGGGUGUUUACACUUCGAUAGUUCGUAAGGGUGUUUGCUAGCAGGCCGGAGCCGGUGUUCUCCGUUACCAACACGCCAACCCUACAAAUGCCAAAUCAUUUGUAGCUAAAGUUCGCGGGGCUUUUGCUCAGCUGAACUUUGCUCCAGCCUUCGCUUAAUUGCCAAGGCCGUUCCCGCGGGUAAUGCUCGAUAGCUUACGGGGACGCCAUUCAUCGAGCUCGGUAUGGUUCUUGUCUCGGGGACCAACCUAGAACCAGAGACAACCGGAAUUGCGAUUUUGUGUCGCUUAACGUAAUUUCCGGUAAUAAAGCGGCACUGAGCUUGGACCUGGCGGCACGCGAACGAACUAGACACGGGUGCGAACCCCGUCACCUCCACCA